AUUAAACGCUGGCGGCAUGCCUUACACAUGCAAGUCGAACGGUAGCGCGGGGCAACCUGGCGACGAGUGGCGAACGGGUGAGUAAAGCAUCGGAACGUGCCCUGGAAUGGGGGAUAACGUAGCGAAAGUUACGCUAAUACCGCAUAUUCUGUGAGCAGGAAAGCAGGGGAUCGCAAGACCUUGCGUUCUGGGAGCGGCCGAUGUCGGAUUAGCUAGUUGGUGGGGUAAAAGCCUACCAAGGCGACGAUCCGUAGCGGGUCUGAGAGGAUGAUCCGCCACACUGGGACUGAGACACGGCCCAGACUCCUACGGGAGGCAGCAGUGGGGAAUUUUGGACAAUGGGCGGAAGCCUGAUCCAGCCAUGCCGCGUGAGUGAAGAAGGCCUUCGGUGUAAAGCUCUUCGUGGGAGAAUGCACGGGUUAAGUACCCUGUGUAGAUGACGGUACCGACUAAGAAGCACCGGCUAACUACGUGCCAGCAGCCGCGGUAA
rnacentral:rRNA from 1 species